UCUGAGGUGAACCUGAGCCUUUAUUCCCACCUGCAGCAGAAAGAAUAAGGCUGUUGUCAUGGGCAAAUAUGGUGUGAUUUCUCUUACAGGAGGCUCUUGGAGGACUAGACCUUCCCACUGAGGUUUAUGGCGGCAUCUUUCCAUCAAGCUGAGAAGUCAUCAGUCAGGGAAAGCUACCUGGAGUUCCUGGCCCCAGCAGACAUUCAUUUCAUGUCUGCCUUCCCCCUGAUUCAGUUGUUUAUAUCCUCGGCCUCGGGAAACCUUGGAAGUUACUCCAGCUAAAAGCAGGCAAUGCACUGUGCCAGCAAAAUGCAGUCGGGACCUGGUGACACGGGGGAUUGGCCUCGAUCCACUGCCCUGGGGUUAGAAAAAGAACACUAGAGUCACCAGUGCCCAGAUGAAGAGAGAAGAGAGAAGGCUGCCGUUUCCUUAGAGGAGCCGUGCAGCCCCCACCCCAUGCAUCCUCCUGCUUCUACCCAGGAGGGAACCACGACCCUGACCCUGAGAGGGCUUUCACGUUUCUACACACAAUCCAGAGUCAGAUCCCGGAGUCCCAAGCGACAGACCCAGCUGAGACUGUAUGAAUUCUCUAGGUUAAUUAGGGGAGGGCUGACAUCUUUAAAGCAUGGAGUCUUCAGUCCGUGUACACUGUCUAUGUCUGUCCUCCGUUCAUGCUCAAUACAGAUCUGUAUUGAAGUCUCAUAAAUAUUUGGUUAUUUUCC
ensembl:lncRNA